rnacentral:rRNA from 1 species
UACGGAGGGUGCGAGCGUUAAUCGGAAUGACUGGGCGUAAAGGGUGCGCAGGUGGUUAUGAGGGUCAUAUGUAAAAUACCCGGGCUCAACCUGGGAAAGAGAUAUGAAACUUCGGAACUGGAGUACAGGAGAGGGCAGUGGAAUUUCCGGUGUAGCGGUGAAAUGCGUAGAUAUCGGAAGGAACACCGGUGGCGAAGGCGGCUGCCUGGCCUGAUACUGACACUGAGGCACGAAAGCGUGGGGAGCAAACAGG